CUUGGAUCUCAAGUGCUCACCCCUCCCUUGAAAACAAAGCAUGCAUUGUGUAAUUAUUGUGUACAAGCAGAGUACAUUCUUCAGCAUUGUAACUAACAUAAUAGGCCACAGUAAGGCAGUUGAUGAAGUUUAUUAUGAUUACGGCAAAGUAUUUGACACUGUUACACACAGUAAACGCAUUCAAAAAUUGCUGACUUCCAGACAUUACUCAUUUCUUGAUCAUUCAUGGCAGCAUUUACUCAUGGGUUAGCUCCUCCCCUCACAGCAGAAAGGACAGGAAAUAGAACUCUGAAACUGGUAUAAAUUGGUAUAUAUAGAUCAUCCCCCUUCCCAUCAGGCAAUCUAUAAUUUCUAGACCUUGUCUGGGUUUCGUGGAGGUGCUCUAAAUUUAAAGAUGGGUUCCUUAUUUCUUACGAUGGUUUGUCUUGUAUUAGUCUAACCUUGUUCAUUCUGUAGGUUUGGCUAUCGUGGCCUUAAUUCCUAUCUGGCUCUAUAUUUCUCCAGGAUAUUUCAGACAUUUGAAUGCCAGGGGGUUGCUGGUCUAGCACCCUCUAGGGUAAAUUAACUUGUCUGAACAGAUUUUAUGACAAUUUCCUAUAGAUUACUUGUUUGGCUUUUUUAAAAGUCUUCUAAGGUUUAUGCAGCUCAAUAAUGGUUUUAUAGCUAUUAGCUGUUUUUGAACUUUGUCCCUCCCUCUAUAUAUACUGCUUGGGUAUUACCCAUGAGUAAAUGCUGCCAUGAUUGAUCAGGAAUAAGGAAAAUUGUUUCAUACUUACUGUAAUUUUCUUUUCCUGAUCAUUAUUCAUG